AAUUUGAAUUAUUAAAUUCGUUAGCAUGUUGCCAUGUUUAAUAAAAUGAGAUACAAUAACUAAGUUAAUAAACCUAGUUAAAUGCCUAUUAGAUAAGCUAAAUGAUGAAACUUGUGGCAUUUAUGAUAGUAAGUUAAACUUGAGGGACUUAGAGUGCCAAACUUGGAAGUUUAAUUUAUUAAAACAAAAAUCACACACACAUCCACACAACGUGUGCGUGUGAUCGAGCAGGAGAAAAGGGGAAGGGGUGUAAACCCUAACCCACAUGAAAUCAUCAAAUUGGAAAAGGAUUUGAGGGUUAAUUGGAUGCAUGAACCAAGAUUUAUGAUCACUCAAGCGUUCUUGACACCAAGAUAGGAAUCCCAAAUUGAGAUGGACCCAAGUAUGGAAAGCUAACGGGUCAAGCGGAGGUGAGGAAGCAAGCAUGAACACUAACGCUUAAGGUAAGUGAUUCCGUAAUCACUUCUUAGUUGUUUAUGUAAUGUUAUAUGCAAUUUAAUUAUAUGUGAUAAUUGAGGUCGAAUAGGAAUGAAUUGUAUGAUGUCAAUGGAGUAUUAAACGGAUUUUAGUUUUGAUCCGAGCAAGGUAGGUGUGAUUAAGAAAUAGUAGCUAAGUAGUGGAAUUGGUUACUUAUGUAAGGAAUUCCUUUGUUAUUAAGGAUAGAGCAUAGUUGACUAAAAUGCCCUUGAUAGGUAUAUUGGGCAAACGACCUUAGAAGUCGUUUGGAAACGAGCUAUUCGAUUAGAGUAAUGUCUUGGACAAGUAUGAAAGCGAAGUAUAGGGUUUGGUAUGUCAUAGUCCACUUAAUGCGCAAAUACCCAUAACGGGUCAAAAAUAAGCCUUUGAGCGAAAAUGGGUUAAGAGGAUGCAAGACGUCCGAGAAUUUAAUCUUUUAUGAUAGGUGCCAAUGAAAUUAUUAAAGUUCAUAUGAGAUUGAGGUCAAAUAAACAGAUUAUGUUGAUAAAUGCACGAACGGGUCAAUUAGUUAGAAAAUGAUAAUAUGUCGAAUGCACGUAAGUUAAGAAUUUCCUUAAUCCGGAGGUAGGAUUUCAAGUUAAUAUGAUAGAAUGUGAAUUUACAAGCAUGUAGGAAGAAACGGGAGGUUAAACGGGUAAACGGUUUAAAAGUUAUGCGAGUUUUAGUGGGUGUUUUGUAUCUGCACCCGGAGUAUGGAACGCCGGGUUUGGGAGUAUGGAACGCCGGGCAGAAACCCAAACGCCCAUGCUUCACUGUCAAACGCUGGUACCAUGUUAAAGUGAACGUCGGGGUGUUCCAAACAAGCCUAGAUCACUUUCCUUGAGUUCCUUUGAUGUGUGUAAAGCUCCAUGUGAUAGGUUUAUGAUCCGGAAUCAUCACGUAACCUUCCACCACUACCCUACAUGUAAAAAUGCAUCAAAGUAACAUGUCUCGAUACAAAUACGAUGCUAAAACAUGUAAAUAUUAACCACUUAGGCGUACCAAAAGCAUAUGCAUCAGAUAUGUACGUAUGUAUGUAGGUAUAAAUAUGAUUGUAUGUAGAUAUGUAGGUGCGUAUGAUCAGACGUAUGGAUAUAUGAAUGCACGAAGUAGGAUUUAUCGUCUAUGAAAAGAAUGGGACAGGUAUGCAUGUAUACAUGGUUUCAAUACGUUUGAGUAUGGACAUUACUAAUGAUGUGCUUGAGAUUGAAAUGUAAUGCAGGAAUGAGAACGUCAGACUCUUGUAGAAUUGAAGCCGAACUCGGAACAAAGGAAUCCGAGAGGAUAGUCGAAUGAAUCAAAGUUUAUGUUGUCGAAUGUUAUAUGAUUUUUAAUUUGUAUCAGAUUAUUGUAGUAUGACGUUGUCAAUGACUAAUGGUUAAGUUGUAUGUGGCGUCCACAGGUACUACACGGAUUUCUUCUGCUGCUAAGGAAGUGAAGCGGACGUAGAUCGAGUCAAGAGCAAGGAUUGUACGGAUAGAUCGGUCACAUAGUUGAAGUAUAUAAUGUCUAGAAAUCUAAAUUUUAGUAUGAAUGUUGUGAAUUCUUUUAUAGAACGUUUAACAUUUUUAGAAUUUGGAACCUUCGUGAAAGUAAUGUCAUUAAUAAGGAAAGAAAUUUUAAAGCUCUU